UACGUAGGGUGCAAGCGUUGUCCGGAAUUAUUGGGCGUAAAGAGCUCGUAGGCGGUUUGUUGCGUCGGCUGUGAAAACCUGCAGCUCAACUGCAGGCUUGCGGUCGAUACGGGCAGGCUCGAGUUCGGUAGGGGAGACUGGAAUUCCCGGUGUAGCGGUGAAAUGCGUAGAUAUCGGGAGGAACAUCAAUUGCGAAGGCGACCACCUGGCUCUACACUGACGCUGAGGUGCGAAAGCGUGGGUAGCAAACAGG
rnacentral:rRNA from 1 species